rfam:Dipodomys ordii contig_13298, whole genome shotgun sequence.
GGUGGCUCAGUGGUAGAGCACUUGCCUUGCAUCCAUGAGGCCUUGGGUUCGAUUCCUCAGUACCA